GUUAUGCAUGCUGGAGUAUUAAAAAGCUGUUGAAUUGUACUUUUUCUUUACUUUCACUGUGUUCACGGAAACAUUGCUCUGAUCUUGUCCCCUGGACCCUGGAGGACUUUUGGUGUGGAUGAUGUUCAGGAUCUACCAAAGCAAGGUUUCUCAAACAACUGUGGGGUGUUUGUUGUGAUGACGAUACUGAAAACAAAAUGCACGGCGAACUGGGAGCUGUAAACUGGGAAGCAGAUGUUCUUCAAAUUGACACCCUAGAGGCAGCAAGGUGGUGCGAACGACAAAACAUUUAAAGCCACCGUUUACCUCCCAGGUGUAAUUGGGAUGGACGGGGAAGACCGCAUUACAACCCUUAAAGAACUACGGUUGUAUGAUGGUCUGGAUGAAGAGGAACGUAUUAUCCUCUAGGAACCAUUCAUGUUCCAGCUACAGAGAGAUGAUGAGAUGUUAUAUGUGGAGGCAGUUGAUGUUCUAUGUGGAGGCAGUUGACAACAAGAAAAUGACUGUCUGCCUCUUUUGAGGAGCAGGAGUGAAGCCAUUUUUGAGGAGUGGUCAAACCGGGUUUUUGUCUGCUGUGUUAAUUGUUUCAAUUGUUAAUUGUGUUGUUUAGUAAAGAUGACGUAGAAGUCACCCAAGUCUCUGAUCUCUGUACUGGAGCUGGUAUAACUUCAUGUACAAAGCACAUUCAGGUUGUCAGUAUGGUAUAUUCUGUCACCAUUCUCAUGUGGAGU